rnacentral:rRNA from 1 species
UCGAGAAUCAUUCGCAAUGGGCGAAAGCCUGACGGUGCGACGCCGCGUGGAGGAUGAAGGUCCUAGGAUUGUAAACUCCUGUCAUCAGGGAGUAAAGCUCAAGCGUUAAUAGCGCUUUGAGCCUGAUAGUACCUGAAGAGGAAGGGGCGGCUAACUCCGUGCCAGCAGCCGCGGUAACACGGAGGCCUCAAGCGUUGUUCGGAAUUACUGGGCGUAAAGGGUGCGUAGGCGGCGAGGUAAGUCAGAUGUGAAAGCCCGGGGCUCAACCCCGGAAUUGCAUCCGAUACUGCCUUGCUUGAGGAUCGGAGAGGAGACUGGAAUUCACGGUGUAGCAGUGAAAUGCGUGGAUAUCGUGAGGAAGGCCAAUGGCGAAGGCAGGUCUCUGGACAAUUCCUGACGCUCAUGCACGAAGGCCAGGGGAGCAAAAA